rnacentral:piRNA from 1 species
UGGAUGAAGGUUUGCCGAGAGCUU